rnacentral:SRP_RNA from 1 species
GCUGGGCGUGGUGGCGCACGCCUGUAAUCUCAGCUACUCAGGAGGCUGAGGUAGGAGAAUCGCUUGAACCCGGGAGGCAGAGGUUGCAAUGAGCCGAGAUCGUGCCAUUGCACUCCAGCCUGGGUGACAGAGCUAGACUCUGUCUCAA